rnacentral:hammerhead_ribozyme from 1 species
AUCCAUCUGAUGAGUCCCAAUAGGACGAAACGCGCGUCCUGGAU